GUAAAGCACUUUCAGUAGGGAGGAAGGUAGUGUAGUUAACACCUGCACUAUUUGACGUUACCUACAGAAGAAGCACCGGCUAACUCCGUGCCAGCAGCCGCGGUAAUACGGAGGGUGCGAGCGUUAAUCGGAAUUACUGGGCGUAAAGACGCAUGCAGGCGGCCGUGUUAAGUCAGAUGUGAAAGACCCGGGGCGUUAACCUACGGUAAAUUGCAUUUAGUAAACUAGGCAGGCUAGAGUCUUGUAGAGGGGGGUAGGAAUUUCAGGUGUAGCGGUGAAAUGCGUAGAGAUCUGAAGGAAUACCAGUGGCGAAGGCGGCCCCCUGGACAAAGACUGACGCUCAGAUGCGAAAGCGUGGGGAGCAAACAGGAUUAGAUACCCUGGUAG
rnacentral:rRNA from 1 species